AUUGAACGCUGGCGGCAGGCUUAACACAUGCAAGUCGAGCGGAGAUGAGGUGCUUGCACCUUAUCUUAGCGGCGGACGGGUGAGUAAUGCUUAGGAAUCUGCCUAUUAGUGGGGGACAACAUUCCGAAAGGAAUGCUAAUACCGCAUACGUCCUACGGGAGAGAGCAGGGGAUCUUCGGACCUUGCGCUAAUAGAUGAGCCUAAGUCGGAUUAGAUAGUUGGUGGGGUAAAGGCCUACCAAGGCGACGAUCUGUAGCGGGUCUGAGAGGAUGAUCCGCCACACUGGGACUGAGACACGGCCCAGACUCCUACGGGAGGCAGCGGUGGGGAAGAUUGGACAAUGGGAGGAACCCUGAUCCAGCCAUGCCGCGUGUGUGAAGAAGGCCUUAUGGUUGUAAAGCACUUUAAGCGAGGGGGAGGCUACUGAGACUAAUACUCUUGGAUAGUGGACGUUACUCGCAGAAUAAGCACCGGCUAACUCUGUGCCAGCCGCCGCGGUAAUAC
rnacentral:rRNA from 1 species